CGUAGGUGGCAAGCGUUGUCCGGAUUUAUUGGGUUUAAAGGGUGCGUAGGCGGUCUUUUAAGUCAGUGCUGAAAUACUCCAGCUUAACUGGAGGGGUGGCAUUGAUACUGGAAGACUUGAGUAUAGUUGAGGUAGGCGGAAUUGACGGUGUAGCGGUGAAAUGCUUAGAUAUCGUCAAGAACACCGAUAGUGAAGACAGCUUACUAAACUAUAACUGACGCUGAGGCACGAAAGUGUGGGGAUCAAACAGGAUUAGAUACCCUGGUAGUCCACACUGUAAACGUUGAUGACUCGCUGUGUGCGAUAUACAGUACGCGGCUAAGCGAAAGCGAUAAGUCAUCCACCUGGGGAGUACGCCGGCAACGGUG
rnacentral:rRNA from 1 species